ACGGGUGACCACGUACCUAUUGACGAAUGGGUCAGCGAGUUAUUAGUAGUAGCAAGGUUAAGGCAGUUAUAGCUGGAGCCGUAGCGAAAGCGAGUCUGAAUAGGGCGAUAGUUAUUAUUAAUAGACCCGAAGCGGUAUGAGCUAGACAUGGGCAGGUUGAAGGCAUAGGAAACUAUGCUGGAGGACCGAACGGGUUGGUGCUGCAAAACCUUCCGAUGACCUGUGUUUAGGAGUGAAAAGCUCAUCGAAUACCGUGAUAGCUGGUUCUCUCCGAAAUGCAUUUAGGUGCAGCCUGUAUUUUAAGGUCUUGAAGAGGUAGAGCUCUGGAAAGGCUAGGGGUGUCGAGAGACAUUACCAAACCUUACUAAACUUCGAAUGCUUCAAGGAAUAUUGCAGAGUGGGACUACGGGAGCAAGUUUCGUAGUCAAAAGGAUAACAGUCCAGACUUCUGAUUAAGGUCCCUAAAGUAAUGCUAAGUGGAAAAAGAGGUGUCUUUACUUAUACAUCCAGGAGGUUUGCCUAGAAGCAGCAAUCCUUUAAAGAAAGCGUAACAGCUCACUGGACUAGCGAAGAUGCGCUGAAGAUGUAACGGGGCUAAGCAUUAUACCGAAAUCGAAGACCAGUGUAGUAAUACACUGUGUGGUAGGAGAGUGUUCUUACAGGAUGAAGCUACAUCGCGAGAUGUGGUCGACUAGUAAGAAGUAAAAAUGCUGACAUGAGUAACGCUUAUUGAUGAAAAUUCAAUAUAUCGAAACCCUAAGGAUUCCUACGCAACGUUCAUCGUCGUAGGGUUAGUCGGGACCUAAGGCUUAUCCAGAAAUGGAGAGUCGAUGGAUAACUGGUUAAUAUUCCAGUACUUAUAUAAAGAGUGAUGGAGUAACGCAUUGAGAUUUGUGAGAGCUCAUUAAGGAUUUGAGUCGAAAGAGUGAGGUUUUUAUAACCUUAGGUUAUAAAGGUAGUUGCAGGAAAAUCCACAGCUAUUGAUACUGAGUUUGAUCGGGAUUCAAUUCCUCGGAAUUGGAAAUUCUCAUCGUUUUGGUGCCGAGAAAAACCUCUAAACUUAAUCUAUAUGUAACCCGUACCCAGAUCAGACACUUGUGGGGUGGUAGAGAAUACUAAGAUAAUCGAGAUAACUAAUGGGUAAGGAACUUGGCAAAUUAGCGGACGUACUUUCGAAAUAAGUCCUGUCCCGAGCAAUCGGGAUCGCAGCGAAAGAGAUGGGGGGAACUGUUUAUCAAAAACACAGCUCGCUGCUAACUCGUAAGAGGAUGUAUAGCGGGUGAUGCCUGUCCAAUGCCAGAAUGUUAUGCUCUCUUGUGCAAGCUCGAGGGUUAAGCACUGGUGAAUGACGGCCGUAAGUAUGACGGUCCUAAGGUAGCGAAAUUCCUUGUCAGGUAAGUUCUGACGCGCAUGAAUGGCAUAAUCAUCCCCAUGCUGUCUUACCCUUAAACUCGGUGAAAUUACAUUCCCGGUAAAAAUGCCGGGUAGUCACAGUUAGACGGAAAGACCCUGUGAAGCUUUACUGUAGAUUGAUAUUGGAUUGUAGCAUGUUUUGCUCAGUAUAGGUGGGAGGCUUUGAUGUUUCGACUUCGGUUGGGGCGGAGCCAAUAGUGAGAUACCACCCAAGAUAUGUAGCAAUUCUAAUCCCUAGGUUGGGAGACAGUUUCAGUUGGACAGUUUACCUGGGGCGGGUGCCUCCUAAAAAGUAGCGGAGGCGUGCAAAGGUUUGCUUACUACGGAUGGAAACCGUGGUGAAUGUGUAUUCGCAUAAGCAAGCUUGACUGUGAGACUGACAGGUCGAGCAGAUACGAAAGUAGGCGAAAGUGAUCCGGAUCUUCCGAGUGGAAGGGGAUCCGCUCAACGGAUAAAAGUUACUCCGGGGAUAACAGGCUAAUGGAAUCUAAGCGUUCACAGCGACGAUUCCGUUUGGCACCUCGAUGUCGACUCGUCGCAUCCUGGGGCUGUAGAAGGUCCCAAGGGUUGGGUUGUUCACCCAUUAAAGCGGGACGCGAGCUGGGUUCAGAACGUCGUGAGACAGUUCGGUCCCUAUCUACUGUGACCGUAGGAUAUUUGAGAGAUGCUGACCCUAGUACGAGAGGACCGGGUUGGACGAGCCUCUGAUAGUACCAGUUGUUCCGCCAGGAGCACCGCUGGAUAGUUAAGCUCGGAAAAGGUAACCGCUGAAAGCAUCUAAGUGGGAAACUUGUCUCAAGAUUAGAUAUCCCUCUUCU
rnacentral:rRNA from 1 species